UCAAAACCCCAAUUUAAACCUCCCGAAGAAGUAUCGUGAACUUCUCUAAGUUUAAUUUGUACUUCAUGCAAUUUAUCUACAUCUGUAUGAAUCUGACCAGUAACAUUAUCUAUCUUUAAACAACAUCUUGUUUUUAUUAGUGCACAAACGCCACCUUUGGAGGCCAACAAGUAAUCUAGGGCGAACCUAUUUUGCAUAAUCAUAGCUGAAGCUUGUUCCUGUUCGGCAGACAAUUUUUCAAUAGCAUCUCCUGUAUUAUUAAAGGCUUCAUCUAGUAUAUCUGCUAACAAGUUUAAUUUAUACAUUAAUUCAAUAACCCCCCAUGUAGGUACAAAACCUGCAAAUAGCCUAUCUCCUUCACCAGAUUUUACAGUUCUUUCGGUUUUAUCUUUUUUGGAACUAAUAACCUUUCUUUUAUUCCUCACCCUUCCUUCAGGCAAAUUUUCAUGAAGGGUUAACGCUGGGAUAAUAUUACCUAGAUAACAAGUUUCCACCCAAUUGCAUGGAAGUCUUUUUACCGCCCAACUACCACAUAAAUAGUAUACCCCAAAUGGAAGAUGAAUAUCAAUAACACGAGAAUCUGAGCAGUCAAAAAUAGGUUGAUUAAUAUAGGGCAGUAGCAUAAAAAGAUUGGAAGUUAAAGUUUGAGUAUUAAAGUAGGCCCAUCUCAAAAUAGUGACAUUUAAAUGUUCAUUCUGGUCAUAAUUAUUAUCCAUGAUUUCUACCUCAGAAGUCAAAUUUACCCACACAUGAUUAGUAAUCACCGGGAUUCUAUCCUUGAUGGGACAUUUUGUCAAAAUAUCUUCUAAUAAGGGUUUCCAACAAAAAGCUUUCAAUUUACCAGUACAAGGGGCAGAAUUAGUUUCAGACCCACAUAGAUUAUAAAGGACAUUGUUUUCAAAAAUAACAAUAGCAUUGCUUAUAGGCUUAACAAUCUUGUCAGGACUUUUCUGAUCCCUGUUAGAAAUUACUACUGCUCCACUAGUAAUGGCAUAUGUUAAAUGAACCUUAGCAGGUUCCUCAGAUUUGGAUACUUCAUUCUGAAUAAAUCCAACAAACCCCGUUUUAUUUGCUCUUACUCUCUCAUAAAGAGAUUCCAUAGACCAUGGCACCCCCACAAAAGGAUAACCAUAGUUCAUGGAAUGCGGAGCAAACCCACAAACCCAACAAUGAUUACUUUUGUUUGACAAUUUAUACAAUUCAGCAGCUGUUUUAACGAAAUGAUUAUCUAUCUCCCAUGAAGAAAAAUCACUUGGGUUCUCGGCCCAAAUUACACGUGUAUUUAAGAAGAAAGGAGCUAACGUGGUGUAGAGGAUAAAAUUUUUUAAAAAUGUCAUAAUGACAAUCAUUAAGGACAAUAUAAGUUUAACCAGUUUGAGAUUCAUGAAGAAAAACAGUAGAGUUAACUUUGGAUUAGAAAGAUACUCCCCUUAAUAAGUACCCCUUUUUAUAAGGGAAAACGGCUUCCUUAGUCCUCUAUUCUUCUUCCAGUGAAAAAAUCUUUUUCAGCGCUUGUCAGUUUACAAUGAGAAAUGUGGAUCCAAGAUUUAACUUCUGCGACUUUAACAGCUGAAUUAGUGGUUAAUAACACUUGACAAGGUCCUUUCCACCUUGGUUGCAACGCGUGCUUUCGUGAAUGGUCUUUUAUCAUAACAUAAUCUCCAGGAGCGAUGGCAUGCAAAGGUUGGUAUUCACUUG